rnacentral:rRNA from 1 species
GAUGAACGCUGGCGGCGUGCCUAAUACAUGCAAGUCGAGCGAACAGACGAGGAGCUUGCUCCUUUGACGUUAGCGGCGGACGGGUGAGUAACACGUAGGUAACCUACCUAUAAGACUGGGAUAACUUCGGGAAACCGGAGCUAAUACCGGAUAAUAUUUCGAACCGCAUGGUUCGAUAGUGAGAGAUGGCUUUGCUAUCACUUAUAGAUGGACCUGCGCCGUAUUAGCUAGUUGGUAAGGUAACGGCUUACCAAGGCAACGAUACGUAGCCGACCUGAGAGGGUGAUCGGCCACACUGGAACUGAGACACGGUCCAGACUCCUACGGGAGGCAGCAGUAGGGAAUCUUCCGCAAUGGGCGAAAGCCUGACGGAGCUACGCCGCGUGAGUGAUGAAGGUCUUCGGAUCGUAAAACUCUGUUAUUAGGGAAGAACAAACGUGUAAGUAACUGUGCACGUCCUGACGGUACCUAAUCAGAAAGCCACGGCUAACUACGUG